GGAGAGGUGUGCCGAACGGCUAAGGCACUGGUCUCGAAAACCAGCGCCCGCAAGGGCUUGUGGGUUCGAAUCCCACCCUCUCCG
rnacentral:tRNA from 1 species